UGACCCAGCAGUUGUUCCGGCUGCCAUGGAAGCAGACAAUGGAACCCUGCCCCUUUCACUGGGCGAGUGCUGAGAUCACACAUUUUGCUUCUUUAGAAGAACCAAGCCCAUAUGACUCAGGCUGAAUCCAUCCCUGAGCGCAUUUCUCUGGGACAACAUCAUGGCAUAACAACAUCGGAUUGUCUAUGUAGUUUUUGCAAAGUCAAAUCAUUAAGUGCAGGACCCCAGAUUCAGUGGGAUCACUCUUGCAACUAAUCCAGGAAGGAGAAGGAAGGAAAGUGGAAGCCAAGUGAAACAAGGGUGAAUGUUGAAGAUUGGAAAAGAGAUGAAUCUCAGUAUCCAUGGGACUUACUUCUGAGUAGACAGGUUUGUGAAUGUGCUGUAAAACUGCUACAGUAAACCUCAACAUUGAAACCAAAGAA